rfam:Dipodomys ordii contig_43488, whole genome shotgun sequence.
GGUGGCUCAGUGGUAGAGUGCUUGCCUGGCAUGCAUGAGACCCUGGGUUCAAUUCCUCAGCACCA